UUCAUGAGAUCACGUCUGCUGAAUAUGUACAGUUCUAGGAACUAUUAACAACAGAUUAAAUAAUUAAAAGUUUUAAAAAGUAAAAACCCAUAUCAGUGGAGCAAUCCAGAACCAACAGCUUAGUCGGUUAUCUAAACAAGACAACUGGACACAGCCGAUAUGAACAAACCUAGAGUUAAUUGUUUUACACUGUUUCUUUUGUAUGCUAGUUGUAGCUCAUAUUAACUAAGCAGAAAGGACAGAUGCUAACCAUUUACAAAAUUUUAAAAAUGACCACAUGGCUUAAAAAUGUUGAAUUAUUCCUUAAGGUAAGGAUUAGCCAAACAUCAUUGUGGUGUUUCAUUUUGACUCAAAGAUUGGGAAUUAGCUACUGAAAAACAAUCAAAUGCUAACCGUUUAGUAUUAAACAGUUUUUCUGUAAGUUCAUUUUUCCCUUGUAUUGUUUUACUACCAGCUGAAUCAUCAACGAGUCAUACCAAAUGUUAGCCUAUUGAAGACUGCAGCUGUGUGUCGAGUCAAAAACAAACGAUAACCUAGGGAAAAACUCAGCUUGGGACAAAAUAUCAGUCCCUGAAACUGACACUGCUGCCUCCAAAGCAUCGUUGGUGAGUGAGGCCCUCUCUCUUCAAGAGUCCUCAAAUUGCAACACAUCAGAACAUGGCCCGGUUUCCAGUGUCACAGUCUGCCAAGGUUCUAGACGGUGUGGCAGAACAUAAAAAGAAAGCAGCACAGUUUGUGAAACCACCACCAAGACUGUCUGCAGGCAUGUGAAGGGACAUCUUUUUAUGAAGCUUUAAGGUCCCUGUUGUUGCAGCUCAGCAGCUGCAGGAGCUCUACACAGCACUGCUAUAGUUUGUGUCUACAUCGAAUGAAUGAGCUUACUCACUCAGAAAAAAGACAUGGAAGAGGAGAGGAGAGGAAAGAAAUUAUUCAUGUCUCAGAUAAAAACGACUAGAGCUGGAGGGGCUUCUGUGUUGACAGUAAUAGUGAUGAUCCUGAAAGGACCCGCUAAUGCUGCUAGGACAUCCAAGCACAAAGAGUGGAGGAAAGAAUAAUGAAUAAUCUGCCAUUACUACAGAGGGGGGAGGGGGCUUCAACAGAUGAAAUAUAUGAAGCAGCGAGUAAAGGAGACAAAAAGAGGGAGAGCAACAGAGAUCCUUUGUAAUCCACCCCGCAUUAAAAAAAUCUGAUUACUGCAAUGAAAUUGUAUCAGUGUGGGAGGGUCAAACACUCACUGAUACUCUGGCUGGAUGCCUGGAUAAAAUCCCUCCAAAUUACACACACACACAUAGAGAAGGGCACGUUGGGGAUUGGCUUUGAUAGCUAACAGGAUUAUUCUUGUUUCCUUCAGAUGAAACCUACAGGGCUAAUUCGGUUGAUAAGCAAUUUGUCUAGACUCAGCCUGACUUUGUUGGAGUUCAUUUCCACGAAAAGACAAACGUGUGAGUGCGCUCAGGAUGGUUUUUACAUCCGUCUAUUGUCAUUGUUGCAGGAAGUAAUAGUUUAUGUUGCGGCGGUUCUUUAGUAUCAAGCUACAACAAUAAAAAAGUGAAAUUAAUAUCUUGAUUCAAUAAUUUCAUGAUUUUUGUUAUUUCCUGAUCUUUAUUUAUUUUUUUUAUUAAAAAAAGAUCUAGCGACGCUCUCAAAAGCAUCUGUUUUUAUAACGACCAUAUGCAGCCUCCUUGAUGCACGCUCUAGGAAACGCCCUGUGCUUUAGGUCAAAGUGCAUGCAGAAGGAAUGGAGCUCAAGUAUCAGCAGUUUUAUUCUCCUCAACUGUUAAAUGAGAGGGGACUGUCAAACACUGUUCAUACAAAUAAAUAAUUUAUUUGGUGAGAAGUGAAGAUUUAAAACAGAAGUCAUUUGUAUCACACUGGCUGUUAAGCCUGAGCUGCUUUGCAGAGAAGAUUGAUGCCUUGAUGUGUGACAUUUUGCAGAAAUUCUCUCUUGCUCCUUUGAAAUGCCCAUUAGGAGCACUCACUUUGUGCACUUUCCAUUCGGUUUUAUAGCCUUGCUGCCCAUCGGCAUGCCUGUGCAAGUUGGUUGAUCUGUUAGGAGGCUCCGAUUUUGACACGCGGUACGCUUAACCGUGUCCAGGCCAUUCUUACAUGUCUACACAUUCAUCCCCAUGUUCAAAAAGUUGCAAAAAAGACCUGUUGUAUUUAAGAUAAAAGUAAUAUUACUUUACUACCAACAGCAUGAUAAAUUAUGGUGAUGGCACGGUCAAGUUUGAUGUAUUCACAAACUGUUAUAGCAUGUUGUAUUCAUAAAGAA